rnacentral:rRNA from 1 species
AUUGAACGCUGGCGGCAUGCCUUACACAUGCAAGUCGAACGGCAGCGGGGGAGAAGCUUGCUUUUCCUGCCGGCGAGUGGCGAACGGGUGAGUAAUACAUCGGAACGUGUCCUGUAGUGGGGGAUAACUAGUCGAAAGAUUAGCUAAUACUGCGUACGACCUGAGGGUGAAAGCGGGGGACCGCAAGGCCUCAUGCUAUAGGAGCGGCCGAUGUCGGAUUAGCUAGGUGGGGGGGUAAAGGCAUACCAAGGCGACGAUCAGUAGCUGGCCGAAGAGGACGAUCAGCCACACUGGGACUGAGACACGGCCCAGACUCCGACGGGAGGCAGCAGUGGAGAAUUUUGGACAGUGGGAGAAAGCCUGAUCCAGCACUGCCGCGUGUGUGAAGAAGGCCUUCGUGUUGUAAAGCACUUUUGUCCGGAAAGAAAUGGCUCUGGUUAAUACCUGGGGUCGAUGGCGGUACCGGAAGAAUAAGGACCGGCUAACUACGUGCCAGCCGCCGCGGUAA